UUGUAGUUAAAGUUGAUUAGAAGCUUUUAUUUAGAGUUCUACUUACGUUUACUUUAAUAUUACGUUUACUUUAAUAUAAUAAUACUUUUAAUAUUUUUAAGGAGUUUCAUCUUUUUUGAGGGCUGCAUUUUGGUUCCAAUUUAGGUUAGAUUAUUGUAAAUCCUUGUAUUUUAAUUUUUUUAGAAUUUGUAUACUUGCUUGCUUUGACUGUCAGUAUUCUCUUCAAAUUAAUGGUCUCUUUCAGCAAAAACAAUGAAAAAAAUUCUUCACUAAAUUCUAAUUUCAUGGGUCUGAAGGUCAAAUGGUCAAAAGGACGCGUUUCGUGACAUUUUAUUCAGUUUUAAUUGUUUAGUCAGUUUUUACCUUGGAAACGGCAGGCAACGCGAGUCAGGUUGGAGUUUUUGAGCAUGAAGCAAGACUUACUGAAUUUAAAAGAUCUUAAAAAAGGCCAGGAGAAACAAGACAGAAAACAAGAGAAAAGAGAUUUACAACUUCAAGAGACAACCUGGAGAUAAACCAAUAAAAAAUUAAUGACUAACUUCGAAGCAACAGUGGAAGAAGAACUGGGGCAAGUACAAAACAAGAUCCAAGAACUAGAGAUGAAAGUAAAGCGUGUCCCUCUUCAUCCCAAUCCUGGAAUGCAAACAAUGAUGACAAUGAAACCACUUGAAUCCGCAAACUGAUUUAAGUGGAUCGCUACUGAAAUCGCUGGGAUAACGAAGAAAGGGCAAUCAAUCUUAAGCUAUUAAUUAAGAGGAGAAGCUACAGAAAUACUAAGAAUGGUGCCAUCUGAGGAUCAGCUCAAGUUUGACGUACUGGCGCGUCCUUAGAAAUGAGGUACGGUGAAGCCCAUCGGACCAGUAGCAAAAAUUUACGGCAGUCACGUGACCUAAAACUCAAACGUCAAUUAUCAGUCAAAAUUCAUUAAUUGCAUCCUAGUUUUGCAAAAUGAGCUAGGGACCAAAAAGUAGUAUUUAUAUGCUAAUGAUGGUUGCCAAAUUUCAAAUUUUUAUAUAAACGCAUUAAAAAAAUAAAAAGGGGGGAGGAAGGACACUGUAUGGAAACAAGUGUACUCAAGUGAAAUCUAGGUGACAACAACCCGGACUCCAACACUUUGAGGCCGAUGUUGCUCGAUUAGGAAAUCUGACUUAUCCUUCAGCCCCAACAGAGUUCCGAGAAUAAAUUUCUAUAAACUGUUUUAUUAUUUAUUAAGACUGAGUAAUUUUUAGCUAGAAAGCCUAAAAGGCCAUUCCAAUGUUGGAAUUGUAAUGAGGAGGGGCACCUUAAACAUCAAUGCCCCAAGCCAUUAAAAGACCCAAGGAACCAGAAAAACUUCAGCUCCAUAAACCAGAAAACCUUUAUGGGGCGCAAGUUGACUGGGUACUACCAAAGCCUACGUAUAAGACUAAACCGGCUGCCACGUCCUGGACUGAGCUUGGUAGUACCCCGGGAAAAAUAUGCGGCCGUGAAUGUCAGAUGGUGGUGGAUAUAGGAUCAAGUCAUACUAUCGUGAAGCGGAACAUAGUAGCUCACUGUAGGAUUUCAGUAUCACUAAAUUUCAUUCUGUCCGGGGAUGGAAAAAGCUUUCGAGCCUAGAAAAAGACGUAAAUAAACGUCGACAUUGAAUAUAUUACAGAAGAUUUGUAAGAAAUUUUGCUAACCUUGUAAAACUAGUUGGCGAGCAAACUGUGAAGAACCAUUUCAAUGCCUAAAAAGAGUACUGUGCACAUCUCCAAUUUUAACGAAUCCGAUCCCGAAUGUUGGAAUUGGAGCCAUGACGGCUCCACCACAGAAAUAGAAAUAGCAUUGGAGCCAUCACAGAAAUAUGAAGACUGCGAGCGAGUAAUAGCUUACUUCAGUAAACGCUAUCCAAACGAUAUUUACUUGUCAUCGUAUUAGCAUUAUUAGUUCUGAAGAGUUGGACGCAGCUAGUUUAAUAACGGAUUUUAUUGAAGCUGUCCAUGGUGGUGUUGGCGGAGAAUAUUUUGGAGUUAGUAAGACCUUGGCAAAAGUGAGAGAACGAUUUUACAGUCUGAACAGUCAUGAAUAUGUUGAACGCUGGUGCCGACAGUGUGAACAAUAUUCGUCAAGCAAGGGUCAAAGGACCCGGACUGGAGAAAAAUUAUGUAGUAUCUUGUUGGUGUACCUUUUGAACGAAUUGCCACCAAAGACGUAGAUAAGGCCCUUUUCCUACUAGUAGUUCCGGAAAUCGAUGUACUCUUGUUGCUAUGGAUUACUCGCAAGUGGCCUGAGGUUUAUUACCAUUCCAAACCAAGAAGCAACCACAGUAGCUGAAAUGCAGUUCCAGAACUGGAUAUGCCGAUUUGGUAUCGCCAGAGAGAUACAUUUAGUAUAUACAUUAUACAUACACUAAGGCAGUCAAAUAUUCCAACAAGUAUCUCAGUCUGAUGGAAUGGUUAAAAGAUUUAAUCGCAUAUUGGAAACCUAUUUGAGAAUUGUGGUAAACUCUAAGCAAACGAACUGGAAUACCUGUCUAACAAUUCCUAUUAUCAUAUUGUUCUUCUAUCCACAAGUCAACUGGGAAAAGCCCGGCAAAAAUUUUGUUCGGUGAUGAACUUCAUUUACCUUUGGACAUUAUUACUGGGAGACCCCAUAAGUCUAAAACCCAUGAGGAGUACGCCGACCAUCUACAAGAAUGUUUGCUAAUGGUCCAUGAACAAGCACAGGCUAAACUUCACCUAGAAAGUAACAGAAUGAAAUCACGUUAUGACAUAAAGACAAAUUCUACCGGUUUUAAUCCUGGGGAUAGAGUCUGGCUAUACAAUCCACGGAGGACAAAGACACCAAAGCUCCGAGAGGAUUGGGAAAAUCGAUUCCAUGUGGUUACCAAAAUUAACGACGUGGUGUACCGGAUCCCGCGACGUCGGACAACAAAGAUGAACAUCGUAAACAUCCUCCGGUUAGCGCCUUAUCAUGAUUCAGGUGGCCCCAUCUUUGACCCUGGAGGUGUUGCUUAAUCGAGACGAUCAAACUUGAUAAUGAACGAAGCCAAAGUCUGCCAUCGAAGUACUCGGCUCGGGGUUCGGAUCCGCGCGUCAAUUCAAAAUAGGCAGCGAGCGUCAGGCCCCUGGUAUUAGGCAACGAACCAAACUUUAAAUGUUUUGUAUAGCUUAAAAUUUUAAAGCUUUUUAGUUCCAUAUAACUUUUUUAUUUAUUCGUGUUUAUAUUUUACUUAUGGUAUUUUUCCUAGCUAUACAAAAUAUAAUAGUUAAAAAUAUAAUGAAAUUUUAAUAUAAUUAA